GUGGGAUUCGUAUAACGGUCAGUAUUCCUGUCUUCCAAACAGGCGGUGGGAGUUCGAUUCUCCUAUCCCACACCA
rnacentral:tRNA from 1 species